AACGCACCUUGCACCCCUUGGUAUUCCGAGGGGUACGCCUGUUUGAGCGUCAUUAAAUUCUCAAUAGACCUGGUUAGUCUUUGACUGAUCCAAGUCGAUUGGAUGUGAGGGUUGCCGGUCUAUCAGAUCGGACUCCCUUUAAAUACAUUAGUGGUUACCGAUCCUCUUCCACUAGGUGUGAUAAUCUAUCUACGCCUCAUCGGAACGAUCCGCUAGUUAUCCGCUUUCUAACCGUCUCGCUCUAGAGACAACUACUUGACAAUUUGACCUCAAAUCAGGUGGGACUACCCGCUGAACUUAA
rnacentral:misc_RNA from 1 species